rnacentral:lncRNA from 1 species
GGGGUCGAAGUGGCAACCCAUGAAACCGAGAAUAAACGAGAGGCCUGCCCUGAGUAAAGGGUCCCCACCCCCAGAGCUGGAAAAGCCAGAUCCUGUGUGGCUGGUUGGUCUUGUCAUCCUAUUGCCAUCAUCUCUGCAGAACAGACAUGAGGUGAGGGUUGGGGGCACACAAGAGGAUCAGAGCCGCCUCCCUCACCUCCACUAGCUCUCUACUAGCUCAGGACUUCCUCCAGGUUGAGUCUUUCAGGUAAGCUCAGGUGCUGUGGUUUGAAUGUGUGUUUUUUCACAAACUUGUUUGCUGGAAAUGUGAUGCCCAACACAGAUGGUGUUUGAAGAUGUCACCUGUGUGAGAUAACUAGGAUUAGGUGAGGUCAUGAGGGUGGACCCAUGAUGGCAAAGUGCAGGAAGACACACCUGGGUUGGCACACCUGUCUGACUCACAAUGCUACCUCAUUAGGAGGGCUCCCCAGAUGUUAAGAGGGUGCUGGUGCCAGGCUCCUUGACCUGUAACCCACAGAAGCAUGAGCCAAACAAGUUUUUCUUCUUUAUAAAUGAUCCAGUCUCAUGUAUUUCCUCACACCAAUGAGAAAUGUGCUAGUACAAUAGAUUAUAGCCAAAUAACAACAACAAACCAACAAACCCAACAGCCAUUCUGAAAUGGAAAACCAACAAAUAGUAUGGCAUCAGUUGCCCUCUACAGUGCUUGGGGCAGAGUAAAGGAUCCCUGCUUGACAGUUGCCAUCCUCUUAAAAACAAUCAAACAUAACAGUCAGGGAUGGAAACAACAGUGAUUUCUCCCUGCACAUAUGGUAGGUGAUGACUAUCAUGCUGAU